GGGGGGCCGGGGGGGAUCCGCCCCAUAGAUCUCAAAGGGGCCAAAGGUCCCCACGGCUGCGCCUGCAAUGGGGCCGGGGCCGGGUGGUGCUAUGGGGGUGACCCCAAAAAGGGGGAUCCCCCCCUUCGUCUUCAUCCUCCUCUUCCUCUGCUGCGGUCCUGGGGGUUAUGGGGAAUGCAGCGAUGGGGGCGGACGGCGCCCACAGCCUCAGCAACCGCAGCCCCAUAACUUCCAUUGGCUCUACAAACGCCACCAACUGUACAACACCGGACAGCCCCACAGCCACCAACAGCUCUACAACCACGAACGGCUCUACAACCACCGACAGCCCCAUAACCACCGCCAGCCCCAUAACGACCAACAGCUCUACAACCACCAACGGCUCUAUAAACACCGACAGCCCCACAGCCACCGGCAGCCCCAUAACCGACAACAGCUCUACAACCACCAACAGCCCCAUAACCACUGCCAGCCCCACAGCCACCGGCAGCCCCAUAACCACCGGCAGCCCCACAACCACCAACGGCUCUACAACCAUCAACGGCUCUAUAAACACCGACAGCCCCACAGCCACCGGCAGCCCCAUAACCACCAGCAGCCCCACAGCCACCAUUGGAUCGACAGCACCCGUCAGCCCCAUAACCACCGGCAGCCCCACAACUACCGCCAGCCCCAUAACCACCAACAGCUCUACAACCACCAACGGCUCUAUAAACACCGACAGCCCCACAGCCACCGGCAGCCCCAUAACUGACACUGGCAGCCCCACAACCACCACCAGCCCCAUAACCACCAGCAGCCCCACAACCACCGGCAGCCCCACAACCGACACCGGCUCUACGGCACCCAACAGCCCCACAACCACCAUUGGCUCUACAGCACCCGACAGCCCCACAACCACCAUUGGCUCUACAGCACCUGACAGCCCCACAACCACCAAUGGCUCUACAACAGCCGGCAGCCCCAUAACCACCGGCAGCCCCACAACCUCCAUUGGCUCUACAACUGCCGUCAGCCCCACAACCACCCCAACCCCAACCAGCAGCCCCAUAACCACCCCUAACCCAACAACCCCAUUCUCCAGCCCCACAACCACCCUCAUCCCAACCAGCAGCCCCACAACCACUCCCAUCCCUACAACACCCUACAG
ensembl:lncRNA